GUGGGGUUGCAUUGGAGGAAAUGCAUUAAGGUCAUAAUACUCUUUGUUUUAUGAUUUCACCGUGACAUUUGACUUGAGGAUAUGCUGUCUUGAAUAGCACGGGGAUUGUGAAUGCCUCACGCAUGCUAAAGGCAAUAAAUGAACACAUUGCAGACUUAAUUUGUGUCUGCAAGACCAUAAACGGAAAGUAAAACAGUUUCAUAGUACUGUGGUAAGAUAUCAGGCCUACAGUUUAAAAAAAUGCUGGGUAAUUUUUUUUUAACCCAAAUGCAGGGCACAGCCUGUUGGGUCAUUUUAUUGGGUUAUUUUUAAUGUUUAUUUUUGUUUUAUUUUUUACCCAGGUUCUGGGUAGUUUUUCUGUAACUAACCUGCUGGGUCAUUUAAAAAAAAAAAUACUGUGCUAUUUUUUCUAUCCAACCACUGGGUCGAGCCUGCUGGAUCAUAUGCUGGGUUGUUUUUUGUCUAGUGCUGGGUAGUUUUGUGUUACCCAGCCAUUAGGUUAGUGGCUAUACACCCCUCCCCUCCCUCUGACGAAACAUCCCAUCUGCUUACAGUCAGAGCAUGGGCUUUUUGAGUCCACUACAGGAGAGAGUGGUUCUCAGCGCCACCGAUUUGGUUUACUUCUUCAGCAAAAUAAAGGACAGACAUCUGAAACAAGGUCCAUUCUCAACUGAGUCGAAGUUCGUGAGGCAUGAAAGAGCAACCUGCAAGCAAUGGAAUGGGCCUCUGGGAUAUGCUGAUCACUGGUCAUUUUCAGCAUCAGGACAUAUAAGAGUUAACAUGCUAUUUCGAGCCUAUAUUGCUCUUGGCAUACACAACGUCAAAAUCAAUUCCCAGCAUGGUCAAACACAACUCCUGUGGUCAGCACACUCAAGCUCUGAUUUAACAGGCAUUCAGCAGCUAAGCAGAACAUAAGUGGCCAACUAUCCGCCCGCUAUGUGCGCUGUGUCUUUACGAUGGAGCUGGAUGGUAUAUUUUUCUCAAUCAGAGGAGACAGCCAUGUGGUCAGAGGAGAGGCACAGAUGGCGGGGAGGGAUGCUGGAGACCACAGCACUGAAUCUCCCUGCUGGGAACUACAGGAGACUAACAGCUAAAGCACAAAAAAAAAGAAAAAAAAAAAAGAUAGCAAAACACUGCAUUUAAACGGUGACAUUUUCAGCUCACAACGUUUUGUCCAAAUAUAAAACUUAUUUACUCGCUAUUAUGUCAUUAUCUUUUGUGCACUUUUGAUUUCAAACUAGGUAUUUUGCUGUUUUGAAUACAAUGAAAGUGACCUGAGACUUGAGCUUCAAAAAAGCACUGUAAAAGGGAUCUGUGAACUAUAUUACAAUUGACUGAAGUCGUAAUAACUUUAUGUGAGGAACAGAACUGAACUUAAGUUAUUCACUGAAAAAGUAGGUCUCAGAUUUCAUUCGGGCCUCUGAAUAUUUAAAACCGCCACAUUCCUGCAACCACAGAGAUCAAUUAAAAGACAUGAAGAAUGGUUUUCGGCAUCUAUCAUCUGCAUCGAAACCUGGCACGAUAAGUUUAAAUUUACAUGACAAGAUCUGUGCAGCCAUGCACUAUAUGAAAGAAAUCUGUAGUAAAGUGAAUAAUGUCCUGGCAGACAUUUUCUUCUUAAACUAAUGCAAUGCAUAUAUAUAUAUAUAUAUAUAUAUAUAUAUAUAUAACAAUAUAUAUAAUUAUUAUUUAUGCAUGUAUCCUUUAUUAUUAGGGCCCGAGCCAAUGGGCGCAGGGCCCUAUUAUUUUCCUAAGGAUUAUUCUUAUUAGGGCUCAAGCCUGGAGGGCGAGAGCCCUAUUGUUUUCCUUAGGAUUAUUUGUUAUUAUUAUUAUUAUUAUUAUUUAUUCUUCUAAUUUUUUUUCAAGGUUUCGGGGGCUUUUAGGGCCCUUAACAUGCUUAAAAAGUCUUGAAAAU
ensembl:lncRNA